rnacentral:rRNA from 1 species
UGCCAGCCGCCGCGGUAAUACGGAGGGUGCAAGCGUUGUUCGGAAUUAUUGGGCGUAAAGCGCGUGUAGGCGGUUCGUUAAGUCUGAUGUGAAAGCCCGGGGCUCAACCCCGGAAGUGCAUUGGAAACUGGCGAACUUGAGUACGGGAGAGGAAAGUGGAAUUCCGAGUGUAGGGGUGAAAUCCGUAGAUACGUGGAAGAACACCGGUGGCGAAGGCGGCCUUCUAGCUUGUUCCUGACGCUGAGGCGCGAAAGCAAGGGGAGCAAACAGGAUUAGAUA